UUUACAGAAGCAGCACACACCCUGCACGAUAAACCCUAAUGUUGUCUUUACUUAAACAAUCAAGUCAUCUUGACUAAACAUUACUUAACAUUUUGCAUUUUGGACUCAUAACUCAAAAUAUAAGUUAGUUUAACUUAUUUACCUACAAAAUACAUAAACUUAAGAUUUCAAGUGUUAUGAACUCAAAAUCAUAAUUCAUACCUCACGCUGGUCUUCCUUUGAUGUGAUUGGCCAUGCAAGGAGUUCUGCCUGGCAACAAGAGAACUAAUGCACUGAUUGGUAGAUAAUUACAAAAGGCGGUCCUCUUCCUCUCGUCUGUUGGUUGCUGCUGAGACCGGUUUCAGUAUAAAGUUCAUUAAGGGGGUUUUUCACCGUGUGCCAUUUUAAGUGAUAUAAGACAAGAACAUGUGGAAAUGUAAGCAUUGCAUUUUCAACUCUGAGGAAAGAGGAGAAUGUCUCAAACGUUAUCGUUUAAAACAAGGUGUCUGAUCAUCGCAACUCUAUCCUUGAUGUGCCAGUGGGGAUCUUAUUCGAAGACACCAAUCUUCAGCCCCCCAACUCCUUGCAUUUGACUUCCUCUAUAGGGAUAAUACUUGAAGGCCAAGUGGUGAUGGACAAAAUGCAGGAUGUCUCAUAAGCAAUGUGUCUUCUCUUUGGUCUUAUUUAUGCGUUAGACCCAAAUUACCCAAAAUCCCUCGCAAACACGUUUGAUUUCAUACAUUGUGUACCGAUGUCAAUGGGGCAGAACACCCUCAAUCCUAAAGUACAGUCCUUGGCAAACCAGCUUUUUGGUUAAGAAAAAUGUUUAGGUCUCAUUGUUGCAGAUUUUGAGUCAGCAUUGUUAGAUUUACAUACUCAGAGCAAUUUUUUUAAUCGAUUAACUCCAUUAUCCAUAAAUGAAGGAGAAAAAGUAUAAUAGUAUUUUAAAUUGUUUAAGUGCACAGAGUUCUUCCACUGAUGGAGUGCAGUAGUUAAUGUGGGACAUUGUUACCAAGCCUUCAGUGCUGUACAGUGUGGUCGUGACACAUUUCCAUUAUAGUAUAGUGUGUACUGUAAUUUCAUUAAUUUUGUGAAUAUUGGUCAAUAAAGACAUUCAAU